UUCAGCGUCCGACCUUGCGCGCAUGACCUCUUAUAUUAGAUAUUAGAUAUUAGCAACUGCCAUGGCCGGCUAGCUUGGCGCUCUCAUCACACUGCUUGCGCUAGCAUUGCGUAUCUCUUCUUCUUCUUCUUGCCCGGCUUGACUUCGAAAAAAGAUACUUCGUUGAUCUGCCCGGUCACCGCACCCGGGUCGUCCUUGUGCACCGUGCUUAAAUGAUGGCGGAUGGUGAAGCCACGCGCGUGCAAGUCCAAGACCAUCUGCGAUUCUGCAUCGCCGCACAUACGGACACCAGCAUCUGGUACAAAAAAGCUGACGACAAACAAUGUAAUUUAUAAAAAAAAAAAGAUUAUCAAUAUAGGCCAGCAGCCAGCUCAAUAUAAUGACAUUGACAGCUUAGUCAGCAGAGAAAACAGCAAUUAAGAAAUCUUUAAAACACAAAUGUGUGUGUGUGUGAGUGUGUGUGUGUGUGUGUGUGUGUGAGAGAGAGAGAGAGAGAGAGAUGGUCAUGCUUGGCUCCUCGCACGCCAUCCGCAGUAGAGCCAGCAACGUAGUACACGCCCACAGCUAGCCUGGGGGAGCUCGACUGGCCUGGCUGGCAGCUACGCGAGUGGCAUACAGGGAGCCAGGCAUAUCCCCUAGCUUUUCACCUCUUUCCGACCUGCUGCUGCUGCUGCUUCCCAACGCAUGGACGAUGUACGUACACCUACCGUCUCCAACAUCGAUCCACGCCACAAUGCCAUGCCAUGCAUGCUCUAUCUUCCCUGAACUAACUGAACUUGCAGUUGCAAGGCGCCGGCCAUGGCAGCACCGAAACAAGCUAAUAUAAGCAGAUAGCUGUCUGUGUAUGCAUGCUGGCUUCGAAAGAAGAGAAGUAACUCCUAUUCCCCGCUCACCCAAACCCAGUGGCUCCUUUCUCAUAGUACACAGACGAUUACAGAGAGCCAGAUAGAGGUCGAGCGCGGGCGAGAGAUGCCCGGAGGAAGAGGUAGAGGGGGGGUAGGAAGGACAACGCAAUGCACGGACGAAACAGACAGAAGAACGGAUGCUUGCUUGAGAGAUGAGCUGGGACUGGGAGGAGCUAGCUUUGCUGAUGAGAGAAUGGAGUAGGGGACUCUCCUUCGAUCUAUGCCCCCGUAUAAAUAGGUGGCUCCGAUCCAAAAAUCCCCCGGGUCGUCAAAGUGCCCGCCCUAGCUGCAAGCUAAUCGAUGGAUCUCCCUCUCCCGUCCCAUCAUCCUACACACACAUGCUCGCACAUUGCACGCUCCUCCAAGCAGCUCAGAGCUCACGGCCAUGGUGGCCAGGCCAGACCAGAGAGAGAGAGAGAGAGAGAGAGAGGAGAACCUCAGGUUUCCCCAUCCAUCCAUAU
rnacentral:lncRNA from 1 species